rnacentral:lncRNA from 1 species
AAUGCGUAUGUCUUUCGAACUUGAAUCUGAGUAGAGUUUGGAAUCUUGGUUUGGAGUCGGGUUUAUCAGAUAGUGAUUUAACUUGUUGAAAAGACGAUCAGAAGCGUUAGAUAAAAGCGUUAGAAGGCCUUGGAUAAAAUAAAGAAGCUUGCAAACAUGGUUGGCUGCUGUGUUCCUGGAUGCAGUUGCAGUAGCACUGUUGGAGGGCACAAAAUACCACGUGAAGAGAAGCUCCGCAAGACCUGGUUGGUGCAGAUCAGGAGAGAAGGUUCAAAACGAUGAUCUGUGUGGAAGCCUUCAGUAUCAUCUGUAGUUUGUCGAAAACACUUCACACCUAAUGAUUAUAUGGAGCCAUCCUGGACAUCCAAGAUGGCAGGAAUUGUCAGGAAGCAGCUGAAAAAAGAUGCUGUCCCAAGCAUUUUCCCAUGGACUUCUGCAAAGAAUAAGGUAGAAGUGCAGAGGAGAGCCAGGAGCAUGCAAAGACAGCACACAUCUAAACAAGAAGAUGUUGCUGAAGAGCCUGAUGCAACUCUUGAUAGGAUAGGCAUUAGGCAACUUUGAUACAGUUGAGGAAGUUGCCUGAGCGUGCUGAUAAAUCCGUGCAAGCAGAGCAAGGUAGCGUGAACUUCUCAGUAGACCGUUUCAGUAACAAUGACAAGGCCAUCAAGUUCUAUACCGGGUUUGAUAGCUUCGAGCACUUUCGGAUCGUAUUUGACUGUCUGGGUCCGGCAGCGCAUAGGCUUCAAUAUUACCCAGAUGGCUCUGCUUGCACGGUGAUCCCUCCUCUAGACUGUUUCUUCAUUACACUGGUAAAGUUAAAGAGAAACAAAGAACUUUUUGAACUGAGCAUGAUGUAUGACGUCUCAAUCUCGCUAAUAUCCAACAUAGUCAUCACAUGGGUGAACUUUAUGUAUCGCGAGUUUCUGGACAUAGGACUAGGUUGUAGGUUCGGGGCGGGCCGUAGCGAGGAUUCAGGGAUCACAAAGGUGAUUAUAGACUGUACAGAGGUAGCAACUGUGAAGCCUGGAAACGUGAUCGCGCAGCACGCCACGUAUAGUACGUACAAAUCUACAAACACUAUGAAGACACUAGUGACAAUAACACCCUCGGGUAUCGUAACUCACGUUUCCCAGACAUAUGGUGGAAGCACCAGCGAUAAUGCGAUAGUGCAGGAAAGCGGCUUGUUGGAGGGCCUCGGGCCGGGAGCGGAGGUCAUUGCUGACCGUGGAUUCACUGAUCGCUGCCUCGCCGAGUCUAGAUCUGUGAAGCUUGUGACCGGGACCCCAGCCUCGAUGAAGGGUAGAGGACAGUUAACGCCUAGCGAAAGAGCCGCAUCGGGGGCCCUGUCAUCUCGACGCAUACACGUGGAACGUGUUAUUGGGUUAGCCAAGACCUACGCUAUUCUACGUGGUCGGAUGUGUGUAUCUCAGGUUAAGCUAAGCACGGAAAUAGUGUACAUCUGCUUCAUGCUCGCCAACUUCCGAGGGAAUAUAGUGAAGUAAGCGUACCACACUCCUACGAGUCGAGAGGUUCUGAAUGUCCUAGUGUCUACCUAUGUAUGUCUCUGACUUACUAUGUUCCGACAGAUCAAUGAAUACACGUCUCAUAUUACA